UACGUGGGGGGCAAGCGUUGUCCGGAUUUAUUGGGCGUAAAGAGCGUGUAGGCGGCUUGGCAAGUCCGCUGUGAAAACUCGAGGCUUAACCUCGAGACGUCGGUGGAAACUGCUUGGCUAGAGUCCGGAAGAGGAGAGUGGAAUUCCUGGUGUAGCGGUGAAAUGCGCAGAUAUCAGGAAGAACACCCGUGGCUAAGGCGGCUCUCUAGUACGGUACUGACGCUGAGACGCGAAAGCGUGGGGAGCGAACAGG
rnacentral:rRNA from 1 species